UCAGGAGUUGUUAUUUGUCAUUUUAAUUCUGUAUCAUCUGUCUUAUAUAGAUAAUCAUGGUCUGCAUUGAUCUAAACAAGAACAAAAUAUUUUGCUCAGGCGAACUGUAUUGACUCCACCCUGCCCGCGGAGGCCGUGUUUGCUGCUGAAGUGGAGAAGCUCAAGGCAGAUCAGUUCAAGCCUGCUGAGCAGGUUACCUUGGAGCCCUACGAGCGUGACCAUGCCUGUGUUGUGGGUGGUUACAGGAUGCCCAAGAAGCAGAAGGCUACCUCUUAGAUCUGAAUCGGUGCCUGUCCCUACCAAAGAAUGCUAUAUGUUGUAUUGGGGUGACAAGAAACUUUGAAGUAUUAGGGUUCUAUAUAGCAUCUACUAUGUGUACGGUACCUGCUGCAGUGUUGCUGGUUUAACGGCAGUUUUUUUGUUGAUGAAAAACGUUUGAGCCAUCAGCUUUGAUUUGUUGCUCUUGUUUCUUGAAGUCACGGACUGAGUUAUCUUCCGUUCUGGGCAUAACGGAUUCGACAUACUCAUCCUGCUCUCGAGGAGUAGGGGAAGUUGCCAGAUUUAAUGCUCCAUUAAAUCAGAGAGAGGCACUCGUUGCUUGUAUUAAGCUGCACUCUAGGGAAGUUGCCAUAUUUAAGGUUACAGUUUAUACGACGGUAGUU
rnacentral:lncRNA from 1 species